UUGGCAUCUGCGCUACAACCUUUGUGC
rnacentral:piRNA from 1 species